rnacentral:rRNA from 1 species
UUAAAGAGUUCUAUAACUCCCAAACCCAUGUGAACAUACCUAACGUUGCCUCGGCAGGUCGCACCUACCUUGUAGCACCCUACCCUGUAGGGCCUACCCGGGAGGUGCGGGUAAGCCUGCCGGCGGCCCACCAAACUCUGUUUGAUAUUGAAUUCUGAACCUAUAACUAAAUAAGUUAAAACUUUCAACAACGGAUCUCUUGGUUCUGGCAUCGAUGAAGAACGCAGCGAAAUGCGAUAAGUAAUGUGAAUUGCAGAAUUCAGUGAAUCAUCGAAUCUUUGAACGCAUAUUGCGCCCAUUAGUAUUCUAGUGGGCAGGACCGUUCGAGCGUCAUUUCAACCCUUAAGCCUUCGUUGCUUAGUGUUGGGAGCCUACGGCAACGUAGCUCCUCAAAGUUAGUGGCGGAGUUAGUUCACACUCUAGACGUAGUAAUUUUUUAUCUCGCCUAUUAGUUGGACUAAUCCCCUGCCGUAAAACCCCCAAUUUAUCAAGGUUGACCUCGAAUCGGUUCAGACAAACUCGCUAAAUUGAAGCAUCUUAGUCAGCGAAGGAAAAGAAACCAACAGGGAUUGCCCUAGUAACGGCGAGUGAAGCGGCAACAGCUCAAAUUUGAAAUCUGGCCCUCGGGUCC